CGCCAGAGAACUACGAGCGAAAAACUUAAAACUCCAAGGACUUGGCGGUGCCCCAUAUCAACCUAGAGGAGCCUGUCCUAUAAUCGAUAAUCCACGCUCUACCUUACCCCCCCUUGAAAUACAGCCUAUAUACCGCCGUCGCCAGCCCACCUUAUGAAAGAAAUUCAGUGAGCACAAUAAUUAACAACUAAUACGUCAGGUCAAGGUGUAGCAUACGGAGGGGUAGAGAUGGGCUACAUUUCCUCCAACAGGAAACACGCACGGCAUACUGAAAUAUAUACCCCAAGGCGGAUUUAGCAGUAAGACAAACCAAGAUACCUGUCUCAAACUUGCUCUGGGGCGCGCACACACCGCC
rnacentral:rRNA from 1 species